ACGAGUUGGAAAGCUCAGCCAGAGACUGUGAUAGCCAGGUAUGCGAAAACGACGCUGACCUUAUUCUGUAUUCUCGAGUAGGUCGGGGCACGAGAAACCCUGAUUGAAUCCGGCUGGACCACCAGCCAAGGCUAAAUAUAGUAUAUGAUCGAUAGUGAACUAGUACGGUGACGGAAAGGUGAAAAGAACCCCGGGAGGGGAGUGAAAUAGAACCUGAAAUUUUGUGCCUACAAGGAGUCGGAGCCCAGCACCUUUGAAAUCGAGUGGUACAAUGUAGGCGGAUGUUCUACGUGUACGUUUUGCAAAGUGAUCGGGAAUCAGAUCAAAUUUACUUCGGUCAGACCAGUGACCUAAGACGACGUCUCUCGGAGCAUAAUUCCGGUAAGGAUACUUAUACCAAGAUAUAUGCGCCAUGGAAGGUUGUCUAUUAUGAAGCCUAUUCAUCACGUAAGCUGGCAUUAGCCCGUGAGAGGCAGUUGAAAGCUUAUGGACAAGCCAGGACUGCUCUGAAGAAGAGACUAAAUUUGAUCUGAUACUCGAUUUCAAAGGUGCUGGGUGACGGCGUGCUUUUUGUAGAACGAUCCAGCGAGUUAAUUUUUACGGCGAGGUUAAGUCAGAUGACGAAGCCACAGUGAAAGCGAGCAUUAACAGUGCGAUUUAGUCGUAAGGAUUAGACCCGAAACCAGGUGACCUAACCAUGAGCAGGUUGAAGCAACCUUAAUCGGUUGUGGAGGACCGAACCAGCGUAUGUUACAAAAUGCUUGGAUGACUUGUGGUUAGCGGUGAAAUGCCAAUCGAACUUGGAGAUAGCUGGUUCUCCGCGAAAUAGUUAUAGGACUAGCGUCGUGUGAUAGCUUACGGGGGUAGAGCUCUGUCAAGAGAUAGGGGGAGCAAUCCUACCUACUCUUAAUAAACUACGAAUACCGUAUGUCUGUAUCACGGCAGUUAGAACGUCGGUGCUAAGAUCGGCGCUCAAAAGGGAAACAGCCCAGACCAUCAUCUAAGGUCCCCAAAUUUACGCUAAGUGGGAAACAAGGUGGAAUUUCUUAAACAGCUAGGAUGUUGGCUUAGAAGCAGCCAUUCAUUUAAAGAGUGCGUAACAGCUCACUAGUCAAGAGACUUUGCGUGGAAAAUGUAACGGGGCUAAAGUGUUAAACCGAAGACAUGGACUUCUGCUUUUGCAGGAGUGGUAGAGGAGCGUUGAUAUCGCAGUGAAGUCAGACUGGAAAGUCUGGUGGAGCGUUAUCAAGUGAGAAUGCUGGAAUUAGUAACCUUAAGACAGGUGAGAAUCCUGUCGGUCGUAAGAGCAAGGUUUCCAGGGCUACAGUAAUUGCCCCUGGGUUAGUCGGUCCUAAGCCGAGGCGUAUCAGCGUAGGCGAUGGACAACAGGUUAAUAUUCCUGUACAGGUAGUAGUUGUGAACAGUUCACGGUGAAUGACCGGAGCGGAUUAAUGGUUUAUCCGUCCAAGUCUUUAGGGAACUAAAGAUGAGUGAAAGGUAAUCUUUGGAUUAUUAAUUCCGGGUGAAGUGCUGGCUAGAAAAGCUGAUUCACUUAUGCUGCUGCCUACCGUACCGCAAACCAACACCGGUGCUCGGGUCGAGUAGACCAAGACCUACGUGAGAACCUUCGCUAAGGAACUCGGCAAAAAAGCGUCCGUAACUUCGGAAUAAGGACUGCCCUCUCAUUAAGAUGAGGAUUUGCUAGAAACUCAGCAGAAGAUUCAGGUUAAUGUAUAUUUGGAUUUUCUAUAAUUAUAUUUUCGAGACCAUCAGCAUGGGCGAGCGCCCUUGAGCGCGUCGAAAAAAUAUAAUUAUUAAAUUACCUUUUAACUGAAUUUUUUCGUUGAGACAGAACACAAAUCAGGAUUUGUUUUAACAAAUUCGUGUCUUUUCUAGUAGUCUAAUCGUCAUUUUGAUGAGAGGGCCGCAGCUAAAGAGCCCACGGAACUGUUUACCAAAAACAUAGGUCUCUGCUAACGCGAAAGCGGAUGUAUAGGGGCUGACUCCUGCCCGGUGUCGGAAGGUUAAGGGGAGAGCUUUACGGUUCGAACUGAAGCCCCGAUGAACGGCGGCGAUAACUAUGAUCGUCCUAAGGUAGCGAAAUUCCUUGUCUGGUAAGUUCAGACCCGCACGAAUGGAGUAAUCAUGUGGGCACUGUCUCGGCGAAGGCCACGGUGAACGUGCAUUGGCGGUAAAGAUGCCGUCUGAUCAUGCCAGGACGAGAAGACCCCAUGGAGCUUUACUACAACUUUGCAUUGAUUAUUGGGACAUUUUGUGUAGAAUAGGUGGAAGACUUUGAAGCAGAUACGCUAGUAUUUGUGGAGUCGAAAUGUGAAAUACCACCCUGAAUGUUUUAGUAAUCUCACUUUUGACCUGAUCGGCCAAAAGGACCGUGCAUGGCGGGUAGUUUAACUGGGGCGGUUGCCUCCUAAAGAGUAGCGGAGGCGUUCAAAGGUUGGCUAACUUCGGAUGGAAAUCGAAGUGAUAGUGUAUGCGCAUAAGCCAGCUUGACUGUGAGGAGUACAUUCCAAUCAGAGACGAAAGUCGGAGCAAGUGACCCGCUGUACGAACAUUUGUUCAUUGAAUGUGGGAUCGACAGCGCACACGGAUAAAAGUUACCCUGGGGAUAACAGGCUUAUAGCGCCCAAUAGUUCACAUAGACGGCGCUGUUUGGCACCUCGAUGUCGGCUCAUCACAUCCUGGAGGGGGAGCACCUUCCAAGGGUCCGGCUGUUCGCCGGUUAAAGUGGUACGCGAGCUGGGUUCAGAACGUCGCGAGACAGUUCGGUUUAUAUCCGGUGUGGACGUCAGGAAACUUGCGAGGAUUUGCCCCUAGUACGAGAGGACCGGGGUGAACGCACCUCUGGUGUAUCGGUUGUGACCACCUGUUGCAUUGCCGAGUAGCUAUGUGCGGAGCAGAUAAGCGCUGAAAGCAUAUUAAGCGCGAAACUGACCUCAAGAUUAGGUUUCCCUAUGAGGACACUAAUAGACGAUUAGUUUGAUAGGCACAAGGUGGAAGCACAGUAAUGUGUGGAGCUGAAGUGUACUAAUAGUCCCACUGCCUUUUUA
rnacentral:rRNA from 1 species